AAUUCACUCAGAACUAACAAGAAUGAUAACAUGCUCCGACUGGAGCGGUUUAGGAACUGCUGGAAGGCUCUAGGGGAAUAAAGAUGGAAUGACUUCUAAUUUUUAGGUCCGUAUGAUUUGAAAUACUUGCACACAAACCACGCGAAAGCGUUCCUGGAAAUCUCAGCCCAAAAAAGGACGUUUAGUAAUUCUAAAAGGGACUACAGGAUGAAAAACAAUAGUUUUGGCAGUUAAAGUUUGAGAUUCGACAGUGCCGUAGAUCCGUUUGGUCAUCAGGUAUUACGAGCCACACCCAUGUCUAGCUAGAAUAGUGUGCUAGGCUCAGGCUAGAGAAGAAACGGGGAACAAACUGAUGAAAGAAUGAUCAAACCGAGGGAAUUCACUCAGAACUAACAAUAAUGAUAACGUGCUCCGACUGGUGCGGUUUAGGAACUGCUGGAAGGCUCUAGGGGAAUAAAGAUGGAAUGACUUCUAAUUUUUAGGUCCGUAUGAUUUGAAAUACUUGCACACAAACCGCGCGAAAGCGUUCCUGGAAAUCUCAGCCCAAAAAAGGACGUUUAGUAAUUUUAAAAGGGACUAUAGGAUGAAAAACAAUAGUUUUGGCAAUUAAAGUUUGAGAUUCGACGGUGUCGUAGAUCCGUUUGGUCAUCAGGUGUUACGAGCCACACCCAUGUCUAGCUAGAAUAGUAUGUCAGGCUCAGGUUAGAGUAGAAACGGGGAACAAACUGAUGAAAGAAUGAUCAUACCAAGGGAAUUCACUCAGAACUAUCAAGAAUGAUAACGUGCUCCGACUGGAGUGAUUUAGGAACUGCUGGAAGGCUCUAGGGGAAUAAAGAUGGAAUGACUUCUAAUUUUUACGUCCGUAUGAUUUGAAAUACUUGCACACAAAUCACGCAAAAGCGUUCCUGGAAAUCUCAGCCUAAAAAAGGACGUUUAGUAAUUCUAAAAGGGACUACAGGAUGAAAAACAAUAGUUUGGGCAGUUAAAAUUUGAGAUUCGACGGUGCCGUAGAUCCGUUUGGUCAUCAGGUGUUACGAGCGACACCCUUGUCUAGCUAGAAUAGUGUGUUAGGCUCAGACUAGAGAAGAAACGGGGAACAAAGUGAUGAAAGAAUGAUCAUACCGAGGGAAUUCACUCAGAACUAACAAGAAUGAUAACGUGCUCCGACUGGAGCGGUUUAGUAACUGCUGGAAGGCUCUAGGGGAAUGAAGAUGGAAUGACUUCUAAUUUUUAGGUCCGUAUGAUUUGAAAUACAUGCACACAAACCCUGAGAAAGCGUUCCUGGAAAUCUCGGUCGAAAAAAGGAUGUUUAAUAAUUCUAAAAGGGACUACCGGAUGAAAAACAAUAGUUUUGGCAGUUAAAGUUUGUGAUUCGAUGGUGCCGUAGAUCUGUUUGGUCAUCAGGUGUUACGAGCCACACCCAUGUCUAUCUAGAAUAGUGUGUUAGGCUCAGGCUAGAGCAGAAACGGGGAACAGACUUAUGAAAGAAUGAUCAUACCGAGGGAAUUCACUCAGAACUAACAAGAAUGAUAACGUGCUCCGACUGGCGCGGUUUAGGAACUGCUGGAAGGCUCUAGGGGAAUAAAGAUGGAAAGACUUCUAAUUUUUAGGUCCGUAUGAUUUGAAAUACUUGCACACAAACCGCACGAAAGCGUUCCUGGAAAUCUCAGCCUAAAAAGGAUGUUUAGUAAUUCUAAAAGGGACUACAAGAUGAAAAAUAAUAGUUUGGGCAGUUAAAAUUUGAGAUUCGACGAUGCCGUAGAUCCGUUUGGUCAUCAGGUGUUAUGAGCCACACCCAUGUCUAGCUAGAAUAGUGUGUUAGGCUCAGGCUAGAGAAGAAACGGGGAACAAACUGAUGAAAGAAUGAUCAUACCGAGGGAAUUCACUCAGAACUAACAAGAAUGAUAACGUGCUCCGACUGGAGCAGUUUAGAAACUGCUGGAAGGCUCUAAUGGAAUAAAGAUGGAAUGCCUUCAAAUUUCUAGGUCCGUAUGAUUUGAAAUACUUGCACACAAACCGCUCGAAAGCGUUCCUGGAAAUCUCAGCCCAAAAAAGGACGUUUAGUAAUUCUAAAAGGGACUACAGGAUGAAAAACAAUAGUUUUGGCAGUUAAAGUUUGAGAUUCGAUGGUGCCGUAGAUCCGUUUGGUCAUCAGGUGUAACGAGCCACACACAUGUCUAGCUAGAGUAGUGUGCUAGGCUCAGACUAGAGAAGAAACGGGGAACAAAGUGAUGAAAGAAUGAUCAUACCGAGGGAAUUCACUCAGAACUUACAAGAAUGAUAACGUGCUCCGACUGGAGCGCUUUAGUAACUGCUGGAAGGCUCUAGGCGAAUAAAGAUGGAAUGACUUCUAAUUUUUAGGUCCGUAUGAUUUGAAAUACUUGCACACAAACCACGCAAAACCGUUCCUAGAAAUCUCGGUCGAAAAAAGGACGUUUAGUAAUUCUAAAAGGGACUACAGGAUGAAAAACAAUAGUUUUGGCAGUUAAAGUUUGAGAUUCGAUGGUGCCGUAGAUCCGUUUGGUCAUCAGGUGUUACGAGCCACACCCAUGUCUAGCUAGAGUAGUGUGCUAGGUUCAGACUAGAGAAGAAACGGGGAACAAAGUGAUUAAAGAAUGAUCAUACCGAGGGAAUUCACUCAGAACUAACAAGAAUGAUAACGUGCUCCGACUGGAGCGGUUUAGGAACUGCUGGAAGGCUCUAGGGGAAUAAAGAUGGAAUGACUUCUAAUUUUUACGUCCGUAUGAUUUGAAAUACAUGCACACAAACCACGCAAAAGCGUUCCUGGAAAUCUCAGCCUAAAAAAGGACGUUUAGUAAUUCUAAAAGGGACUACAGGAUGAAAAAUAAUAGUUUGGGCAGUUAAAAUUUGAGAUUCGACGCUGCCGUAGAUCCGUUUGGUCAUCAGGUCUUACGAGCCACACCCAUGUCUAGCUAGAAUAGUGUGUUAGGCUCAGGCUAGAGAAGAAACGGGGAACAAACUGAUGAAAGAAUGAUCAUACCGAGGGAAUUCACUCAGAACUAACAAGAAUGAUAACGUGCUCCGACUGGAGCAGUUUAGAAACUCCUGGAAGGCUCUAGGGGAAUAAAGAUGGAAUGACUUCAAAGUUUUAGGUCCGUAUGAUUUGAAAUACUUGCACACAAACCGCGUGAAAGCGUUCCUGGAAAUCUCAACCCAAAAAAGGGCGUUUAGUAAUUCUAAAAGGGACUACAGGAUGUAAAACAAUAGUUUUGGCAGUUAAAGUUUGAGAUUCGAUGGUGCCGUAGAUCCGUUUGGUCAUCAGGUGUAACGAGCCACACCCAUGUCUAGCUAGAGUAGUGUGCUAGGCUCAGACUAGAGAAGAAACGGGGAACAAAGUGAUGAAAGAAUGAUCAUACCGAGGGAAUUCACUCAUAACUAACAAGAAUGAUAACGUGCUCUGACUUGAGCGGUUUAGGAACUGCUGGAAGGCUAUAGGGGAAUAAAGAUGGAAUGACUUCAAAUUUUUAGGUCCGUAUGAUCUGAAAUACUUGCACACAAACCGCGAGAAAGCGUUCCUGGAAAUCUCAACCCAAAAAAGGACGUUUAGUAAUUCUAAAAGGGACUACAGGAUGAAAAACAAUAGUUCUGGCAGUUAUUGUUUGAGAUUCGAUAAUCUCGUAGAUCCGUUUGGUCAUCAGGUGUAACGAGCCACACCCAUGUCUAGCUAGAGUAGUGUGCUAGGCUCAGACUAGAGAAGAAACGGGGAACAAACUGAUGAAAGAAUGAUCAUACCGAGGGAAUUCACUUAGAACUAACAAGAAUGAUAACGUGCUCCGACUGGAGCGGUUUAGGAACUGCUGGAAGGCUCUAGGGGAAUAAAGAAGGAACGACUUCUAAUUUUUAGGUCCGUAUGAUUUGAAAUAUGUGCACACAAACCACGAGAAAGCGUUCCUAGAAAUCUCGGCCCAAAAGAGGACGUUUAGUAUUCUAAAAGGGACUACAGAAUGAAAAACAAUAGUUUUGGCAGUUAAAGUUUGAGAUUUGACGGUGCCGUAGAUCUGUUUGGUCAUCAGGGGUUACGAGCCACACCCAUGUCUAGCUAGAAUAGUGUGUUAGGCUCAGGCUAGAAAAGAAACGGGGAACAAAGUGAUGAAAGAAUGAUCAUACCGAGGGAAUUCACUCAGAACUAACAAGAAUGAUAACAUGCUCCGACUGGAGCGGUUUAGGAACUGCUGGAAGGCUCUAGGGGAAUAAAGAUGGAAUGACUUCUAAUUUUUAGGUCCGUAUGAUUUGAAAUACUUGCACACAAACCGCGCGAAAGCGUUCCUGGAAAUCUCAGCCCAAAAAAGGACGUUUAGUAAUUCUAAAAGGGACUACAGGAUGAAAAACAAUAGUUUUGGCAGUUAAAGUAUGAGAUUCAACGGUGCCGUAGAUCCGUUUGGUCAUUAGGUGUUACGAGCCACACCCAUGUCUAGCUAGAAUAGUGUGCUAGGCUCAGGCUAGAGAAGAAACGGGGAACAAACUGAUGAAAGAAUGAUCAAACCGAGGGAAUUCACUCAGAACUAACAAUAAUGAUAACGUGCUCCGACUGGAGCGGUUUAGGAACUGCUGGAAGUCUCUAGGGGAAUAAAGAUGGAAUGACUUCUAAUUUUUACGUUCGUAUGAUUUGAAAAACUUGCCCAUAAACCGCGCGAAAGUGUUCCUGGAAAUCUCAGCCCAAAAAAGGACGUUUAGUAAUUUUAAAAGGGACUACACGAUGAAAAACAAUAGUUUUGGCAGGUAAAGUUUGAGAUUCGACAGUGCCGUAGAUCCGUUUGGUCAUCAGGUGUUACGAGCCACACCCAUGUCUAGCUAGAAUAGUAUGUUACGCUCAGGUUAGAGAAGAAACGGGGAACAAACUGAUGAAAGAUGAUCAUACCAAGGGAAUUCACUCAGAACUAACAAGAAUGAUAACGUGCUCCGACUGGAGCGGUUUAGGAACUGCUGGAAGGCUCUAGGGGAAUAAAGAUGGAAUGACUUCUAAUUUUUACGUCUGUAUGAUUUGAAAUACUUGCACACAAACAACGCAAAAGCAUUCCUGGAAAUCUCAUCCUAAAAAAGGACGUUUAGUAAUUCUAAAAGGGACUACAGGAUGAAAAAUAAUAGUUUGGGAAGUUAAAAUUUGAGAUUCGAUAGUGCCGUAGAUCCGUUUGGUCAUCAGGUGUUAGGAGCCACACCCAUGUCUAGCUAGAAUAGUGUGUUAGGCUCAGGCUAGAGAAGAAACAGGGAACAAACUGAUGAAAGAAUGAUCAUACCGAGGGAAUUCACUCAGAACUAGCAAGAAUGAUAACGUGCUCCGACUGGAGCAGUUUUGAAACUGCUGGAAGGCUCUAGGGGAAUAAUGAUGGAAUGACUUCUAAGUUUUUGGUCCGUAUGAUUUGAAAUACGUGCACACAAACCCAGAGAAAGUGUUCUUGGAAAUCUCGGCCGAAAAAAGGAUGUUUAAUAAUUCUAAAAGGGACUACAGGAUGAAAAACAAUAGUUUUGGCAGUUAAAGUUUGUGAUUCGAUGGUGCUGUAGAUCUGUUUGGUCAUCAGGUGUUAUGAGCCACACCCAUGUCUAGCUAGAACAGUGUGUUAGGCUCAGGCUAGAGCAGAAACGGGGAACAAACUUAUGAAAGAAUGAUCAUACCGAGGGAAUUCACUCAGAACUAACAAGAAUGAUAACGUGCUCCGACUGGAGAGGUUUAGGAACUGCUGGAAGGCUCUAGGGGAAUAAAGAUGGAAUGACUUCAAAUUUUUAGGUCUGUAUGAUCUGAAAUACUUGCACACAAACCGCGAGAAAGCGUUCCUGGAAAUCUCAGCCCAAAAAAGGACGUUUAGUGAUUCUAAAAGGGACUACGGGAUAAAAAACAAUAGUUUUGGCAGUUAAAGUUUGAGAUUCGAUAAUGCCGUAGAUCCGUUUGGUCAUCAGGUGUAACGAGCCACACCCAUGUCUAGCUAGAGUAGUGUGCUAGGCUCAUACUAGAGAAGAAAUGGGGAACAAACUGAUGAAAGAAUGAUCAUACCGAGGGAGUUCACUCAAAACUAACAUGAAUGAUAACGUGCUCCGACUGGAGCGGUUUAGGAACUGCUGGAAGGCUCUAGGGGAAUAAAGAUGGAAUGACUUCUAAUUUUUAGGUCCGUAUGAUUUGAAAUACAUGCACACAAACCCCAAGAAAGCGUUCCUGGAAAUCUCGCCCCGAAAAACGACGUUUAGUAAUUCUAAAAGGGACUAUAGGAUGAAAAACAAUAGUUUUGGCAGUUAAAGUUUGAGAUUUGACGGUGCCGUAGAUCUGUUUGGUCAUCAGGUGUUACGAGCCACACCCAUUUCUAGCUAGAAUAGUGUGUUAGGCUCAGGCUAGAAAAGAAACGGGGAACAAAGUGAUGAAAGAAUGAUCAUACCGAGGGAAUUCACUCAGAACUAACAAGAAUGAUAACAUGGUCCGACUGGAGCGGUUUAGGAACUGCUGGAAGGCUCUAGGGGAAUAAAGAUGGAAUGACUUCUAACUUUUAGGUCCGUAUGAUUUGAAUUACUUGCACACAAACCGCGCGAAAGCGUUCCUGGAAAUCUCAGCCCAAAAAAGGACGUUUAGUAAUUCUAAAAGGGACUACAGGAUGAAAAACAAUAGUUUUGGCAGUUAAAGUUUGAGAUUCGACGGUGCCGUAGAUCCGUUUGGUCAGCAGGUGUUACGAGCCACACCCAUGUCUAGCUAGAGUAGUGUGCUAGGUUCAGACUAGAGAAGAAAUGUUGGGGAACGUAGCAGAAAUUCAAAAUUUUCCUACGUGUCACCAAGAUCUAUCUAUGGAGAGACUAGCAACGAGGGAAGGAGAGUGCAUCUACAUACCCUUGUAGAUCGCUAAGCGGAAGCGUUCAAGUGAACGGGGUUGAUGGAGUCGUACUCGUCGUGAUUCAGCUCACCGAUGAUCCUAGUGCCGAACGGACGGCACCUCCGCGUUCAACACACGUACAGCUCGACGAUGUCUCCCACGCCUUGAUCCAGCAAGGAGAGAGGGAGAGGUUGAGGAAGACUCCAUCCAGCAGAAGCACAACGGCGUGGUGGUGAUGGAGGAGCAUGGCAAUCCUGCAGGGCUUCGCCAAGCACCUAUGGGAGAGGAGGAGGUGUCACGGGAGGGAGGGAGGCGCCAAGGGCUCAGGUAUAGAUGCCCUCCCUCCCCUCCACUAUAUAUAGGGGCAAGGGAGAGGGGGGAGGCGCAGCCUUGCCCCUUCCUCCAAGGAAGGGGUGCGGCUAAGAGGGGGGGAGGAGUCCAUCCUCCCCAAGGCACCUCGGAGGUGCCUUCCCCCUUUAGGACUCUCCCCUUUUUCCUAUAUCUUGGCGCAUGGGCCUCUAGGGGCUGGUUCCCUUGGCCCAUGUAGGCCCAGGCGCACCCCCUACAGCCCAUGUGGCCCCCCGGGGCAGGUGGCCCCACCUGGUGGGCCCCCGGGACCCUUCCGGUGGUCCCGGUACAAUACCGAUGACCCCGAAACUUGUCCCGAUGGCCGAAACAGGACUUCCUAUAUAUAAAUCUUUACCUCCGGACAAUUCCGGAACUCCUCGUGACGUCCGGGAUCUCAUCCGGGACUCCGAACAACAUUCGGUAACCACAUACAAACUUCCUUUAUAACCCUAGCGUCAUCGAACCUUAAGUGUGUAGACCCUACGGGUUCGGGAGACAUGUAGUCAUGACCGAGAUGUUCUCCGGUCAAUAACCAACAGCGGGAUCUGGAUACCCAUGUUGGCUCCCACAUGUUCCACGAUGAUCUCAUCGGAUGAACCACGAUGUCAAGGACUCAAUCAAUCCCGUAUACAAUUCCCUUUGUCUAGCGGUAUGGUACUUGCCCGAGAUUCGAUCGUCGGUAUACCGAUACCUUGUUCAAUCUCGUUACCGGCAAGUCUCUUUACUCAUUUCGUAACACAUCAUCCCGUGAUCAACCCCUUGGUCACAUUGUGCACAUUAUGAUGAUGUCCUACCGAGUGGGCCCAGAGAUACCUCUCCGUUUACACGGAGUGACAAAAUCCCAAUCUCGAUUCGUGCCAACCCAACAGACACUUUCAGAGAUACCCGUAGUGUACCUUUACAGCCACCCAGUUACGUUGUGACGUUUGGCACACCCAAAGCACUCCUACAGUAUCCGGGAGUUGCACAAUCUCAUGGUCUAAGGAAAUGAUACUUGACAUUAGAAAAGCUUUAGCAUACGAACUACAUGAUCUUGUGCUAGGCUUAGGAUUGGGUCUUGUCCAUCACAUCAUUCUCCUAAUGAUGUGAUCCCGUUAUCAACGACAUCCAAUGUCCAUGGUCAGGAAACCGUAACCAUCUAUUGAUUAACGAGCUAGUCAACUAGAGGCUUACUAGGGACAUGGUGUUGUCUAUGUAUCCACACAUGUAUCUAAGUUUCCUAUCAAUACAAUUCUAGCAUGGAUAAUAAACGAUUAUCAUGAACAAGGAAAUAUAAUAAUAAUCAAUUUAUUAUUGCCUCUAGGGCAUAUUUCCAACAGUCUCCCACUUGCACUAGAGUCAAUAAUCUAGUUCACAUCGAUAUGUGAUUAACACUCAAGGUCACAUUCCCAUGUGACUAACACCCAAGAGUUUACUAGAGUCAAUAAUCUAGUUCACAUUUACCAUGUGAUUAACACUUGAUGAGUUCUGGGUUUGAUCAUGUUAUGCUUGUGAGAGAGGUUAUAGUCAACGGGUCUGAACCUUUCAGAUCCGUGUGUGCUUUACAAAUCUCUAUGUCAUCUCCUAGAUGCAGCUACCACGUUCUAUUUGGAGCUAUUCCAAAUAACUGUUCUACUUGGAGCUAUUCUAAAUUGUUGCUCCAUUAUACGUAUCCGGUAUCUCUACUCAGAGCUAUCCGGAUAGGUGUUAAGCUUGCAUCGACGUAACCCUUUACGACGAACUCUUUUACCACCUCCAUAAUUGAGAAAAUUCCUUAGUCCACUAGUUACUAAGGAUAACUUUGACCGCUGUCCUGUGAUCCAUUCUUGGAUCACUCUUGUACCCCUUGACUGACUCAUGGUAAAGCACACUUCAGGUGCGGUACACAGCAUAGCAUACUGUAGAGCCUAUGUCUUAAGCAUAGGGGACGACCUUCGUUCCUUUCUCUCUAUUCUGCCAUGGUCGAGCUUUAAGUCUUAACUUCAUACCUUACAACUCAGGCAAGAACUCCUUCUUUGACUGAUCCAUCUUGAACACCUUCAAGAUCACGUCAAGGCAUGUGCUCACGUCAAGAUCACGUCGGUAUACCGAUACCUUGUUCAAUCUCGUUACCGGCAAGUCUCUUUACUCGUUCCGUAACACAUCAUCCCGUGAUCAACCCCUUGGUCACAUUGUGCACAUUAUGAUGAUGUCCUACCGAGUGGGCCCAGAGAUACCUCUCCGUUUACACGGAGUGACAAAAUCCCAAUCUCGAUUCGUGCCAACCCAACAGACACUUUCAGAGAUACCCGUAGUGUACCUUUAUAGCCACCCAGUUACGUUGUGACGUUUGGCACACCCAAAGCACUCCUACGGUAUCCGGGAGUUGCACAAUCUCAUGGUCUAAGGAAAUGAUACUUGACAUUAGAAAAGCUUUAGCAUACGAACUACAUGAUCUUGUGCUAGGCUUAGGAUUGGGUCUUGUCCAUCACAUCAUUCUCCUAAUGAUGUGAUCCCGUUAUCAACGACAUCCAAUGUCCAUGGUCAGGAAACCGUAACCAUCUAUUGAUUAACGAGCCAGUCAACUAGAGGCUUACUAGGGACAUGGUGUUGUCUAUGUAUCCACACAUGUAUCUGAGUUUCCUAUCAAUACAAUUCUAGCAUGGAUAAUAAACGAUUAUCAUGAACAAGGAAAUAUAAUAAUAAUCAAUUUAUUAUUGCCUCUAGGGCAUAUUUCCAACAGUCUCCCACUUGCACUAGAGUCAAUAAUCUAGUUCACAUCACCAUGUGAUUAACACUGACAGGUCACAUCACCAUGUGACCAACAUCCAAAGAGUCUUGGGUUUGAUCAUGUUGCUUGUGAGAGAGGUUAUAGUCAACGGGUCUGAACCUUUCAGAUCCGUGUGUGCUUUACAAAUCUCUAUGUCAUCUCCUAGAUGCAGCUACCACGUUCUAUUUGGAGCUAUUCCAAAUAACUGUUCUACUUGGAGCUAUUCUAAAUUGUUGCUCCAUUAUACGUAUCCGGUAUCUCUACUCAGAGCUAUCCGGAUAGGUGUUAAGCUUGCAUCGACGUAACCCUUUACGACGAACUCUUUUACCACCUCCAUAAUUGAGAAAAUUCCUUAGUCCACUAGUUACUAAGGAUAACUUUGACCGCUGUCCUGCGAUCCAUUCUUGGAUCACCCUUGUACCCCUUGACUGACUCAUGGUAAAGCACACUUCAGGUGCGGUACACAGCAUAGCAUACUGUAGAGCCUAUGUCUUAAGCAUAGGGGAUGACCUUCGUUCCUUUCUCUCUAUUCUGCCAUGGUCGAGCUUUAAGUCUUAACUUCAUACCUUACAACUCAGGCAAGAACUCCUUCUUUGACUGGUCCAUCUUGAACACCUUCAAGAUCAUGUCAAGGUAUGUGCUCAUUUGAAAGUACUAUUAAGCGUUUUGAUCUAUCCUUAUAGAUCUUGAUGCUCAAUGUUCAAGUAGCUUAAUCCAGGUUUUCCAUUGAAAACACUUUCCAAAUAACCCUAUAUGCUUUCCAGAAAUUCUACGUCAUUUCUGAUCAUUAAUAUGUCAACAACAUAUAAUCAUCAGAAAUUCUAUAGUGCUCCCACUCACUUCUUUGGAAAUACAAGUUUCUCAUAAACUUUGUAUACACCCAAAAUCUUUGAUCAUCAUCAAAGCAUACAUUCCAACUCCGAGAUGCUCACUCCAGUCCUCAGAAGGAUUGCUGGAGCUUUGCAUACUUAUUAGCAUAUUUCAGGAUAGACAAAACCUUCCAGUUGUAUCACAUACAACCUUUCCUCAAGAAUCGUCGACGAAACAAUGUUUUGACAUCCUAUCUGCAAGAUUUCAUAAAUAAUGCAGUAAUUGUUAAUAUAAUUCCAACAGACUCUUAGCAUCGCUACGAGUGAGAAAGUCUCAUUGUAGUCAACUCCUUGAACUUGUCAAAAAACAUCUUAACGACAAGUCGAGCUUUCUCAAUGGUGACACUUACCAUCAUUGUCUGUCUUCCUUUCAAAAUCCAUAUGUACCUAACAGCCUUACGACCAUCAAGUAGUUCUUCCAAAGUCUACACUUUGUUUUCAUACAUGGAUCCUCUCUCGGGUUUUAUGGCCAUGAGCCAUUUAUCGGAAUCCGGGCCCACCAUUGCUUCUCCAUAGCUCGUAGGUUCAUUGUUGUCUAGCAACAUGACUUCCAAGACAGGAUUACUGUACCACUCUGAAGUAGUACGUAUCCUUGUCACCCUACGAGGUUUGGGAGUGACUUGAUCUGAAGUUUCAUGAUCACUAUCAUAAGCUUCUACUUCAAUUGGUGUAGGUGCCACAGGAACAACUUCCUGUGCCCUGCUACACACUGGUUGAAGUGAUGGUUCAAUAACCUCAUCAAGUCUCCACCAUCCUCCCACUCAAUUCUUUCGAGAGAAACCUUUCCUCGAGAAAGGACCCAAUUCUAGAAACAAUUCAUAUUGCUUUCGGAUCUGAAUUAGGAAGUAUACCCAACUGUUUUGGGUGUCCUAUGAAGAUGUACUUUAUCCGCUUUGGUUUCGAGCUUAAUCCUGAAACUUUUUCACAUAAGUGUCGCAGCCCCAAACCUUUAAGAAACGACAACUUAGGUUUCUCUAAACCAUAAUUCAUACGGUGUCAUCUCAUCGGAAUUACGUGGUGCCCUAUUUAAAGUGAAUGUGGUUGUCUUUAAUGCCUAACCCAUAAACUAUCGUGGCAGUUCGAUAAGAGACAUCAUGGUAUGCAUCAUAUCCAAUAGGGUGCAACUAUGAUGUUCGGACACACCAUCACACUAUGGUGUUCCAGGCGGUAUUAAUUGUGAAACAAUUUCCACAAUGUCUUAAUUGUGUGCCAAAACUCGUAACUCAGAUACUCAUCUCUAUGAUCAUAUCAUAGACAUUUUAUCCUCUUGUCACAAUGAUCUUCUACUUCACUCUGAAAUUACUUGAACCAUUCAACAAUUCAGACUUGUGUUUCAUCAAGUAAAUAUUCUCAACAUCUACUCGAAUCAUCUGUGAAGUAAGAACAUAACGAUAUUCACUGCAUGCCUCAGCACUCAUUGGACUGCACACAUCAAAAUGUGUUACUUCCAACAAGUUGCUAUCUUGUUCCAUCUUACUGAAAACGAGGCUUUUCAGUCAUCUUGCCCAUGUGGUAUGAUUUGCAUGUCCCAAGUGAUUCAAAAAUCAAGUGAGUCAAAACGGUCCAUUUGCAUGGAGUUUCUUCAUGCAUAUACACCAAUAGACAUGGUUCGCAUGUCUCAAACUUUUCAAAAACGAGUGAGCCCAAAGAUCCAUCAAUAUGGAGCUUCUUCAUGCGUUUUAUACCGAUAUGACUUACGUGGUAGUGCCACAAGUAGGUGGUACUAUCAUUACUAUCUUUUGGCAUGAACAUGUGUAUCACUACGAUCGAGAUUUAAUAAACCAUUCAUUUUAGGUGUAAGACCAUUGAAGGUAUUAUUCAAAUAAACAGAGUAACCAUUAUUCUCCUUAAAUGAAUAACCGUAUUGCGAUAGACGUAAUCCAAUCAUGUCUAUGCUCAACGCAAACACCAAAUAACAAUUAUUUAGGUUUAACACCAAUCUCUUUGGUAGAGGGAGCGUGCGAUGCUUGAUCAUAUCAAGCAUGGAAAAACUUACAACACAUAUCGUCAGCUCACCUUUAGCUAGUCUCUGUUUAUUCCGUAGCCUUUUGUUUCGAGUUACUAACACUUAGCAACCGAACUGGUAUCUAAUACCCUGGUGCUACUAGGAGUACUAGCAAAGUACACAUUAACACAAUGUAUAUCCAAUAUACUUCUAUCGACCUUGCCAGCCUUCUUAUCUACCAAGUAUCUAGGGUAAUUCUGCUCUAGUAGUUGUUCCCCUUAUUACAGAAGCACUUAGUCUCGGGUUUGGGUUUUACCUUGGGUUUCUUCACUAGAGCAGCAGCUGAUUUGCCGUUUCAUGAAGUAUCCCUUCUUGCCCUUGCCCUUCUUGAAACUAGUGGUUCCACCAACCAUCAACAAUUGAUGCUCCUUCUUGAUUUCUACUUUCGCGGUGUCAAACAUCGCGAAUACCUCAAGGAUCAUCAUAUCUAUCCCUGAUAUGUUAUAGUUCAUCAUGAAGCUCUAACAGCUUGGUGGCAAUGACUUUGGAGAACCAUCACUAUCUCAUCUGGAAGAUCAACUCCCACUCGAUUCAAGCGAUUGUUGUACUCAGACAAUCUGAGCACAAGCUCAACGAUUGAGCUUUUCUCCCUUAGUUUGCAGGUUAAGAAAGUCAUCGGAGGUCUUAUACCUCUUGACAUGGGCACGAGCCUGAAAUCCCAAUUUCAGCCCUCAAAACAUCUCAUAUGUUUCGCGAUGUUUCAAAAACGUCUUUGGUGCCUCAACUCUAAACCGUUUAACUGAACUAUCACGUAGUUAUCAAAACGUGUAUGUCAGAUGUUCGCAACAACCACAGACAACGUUCGAGGUUCAGCACACUGAGCGGUGCAUUAAGGACAUAAGCCUUCUAUGAAGCAAUGAGGACAAUCCUCAGUUUACGGACCUAGUCCGCAUAAUUGCUACUAUCAACUUUCAACUAAUUUUUCUCUAGGAACAUAUCUAAACAGUAGAACUAUAGCGUGAGCUACGACAUAAUUUGCAAAAACCUUUUGACUAUGUUCAGGAUAAUUAAGUUCAUCUUAUGAACUCCCACUCAGAUAGACAUCCCUCUAGUCAUCUAAGUGAUUACAUGAUCCGAGUCAAACUAGGCCGUGUCCGAUCAUCACGUGAGACGGACUAGUCAUCAUCGGUGAACAUCUUCAUGUUGAUCGUAUCUUCUAUACGACUCAUGUUCGACCUUUCGGUCUUCGUGUUCCGAGGCCAUGUAUGUACAUGCUAGGCUCGUCAAGUUAACCCUAAGUGUUUCGCGUGUGUAAAUCUGUCUUACACCCGUUGUAUGUGAACGUUAGAAUCUAACACCCGAUCAUCACGUGGUGCUUCGAAACACGAACUGUCGCAACGGUGCACAGUUAGGGGAGAACACUUCUUGAAAUUGUUGUAAGGGAUCAUCUUAUUUACUACCGUCGUUCUAAGCAAAUAAGAUGUAUAAACAUGAUAAACAUCACAUGCAAUCAAAUAGUGACAUGAUAUGGCCAUCAUCACUUUGCUCCUUUUGAUCUCCAUCUUCGGGGCUCCAUGAUCAUCAUCGUCACCGGCAUGACACCAUGAUCUCCAUCAUCAUGAUCUCCAUCAUCGUGUCUUCAUGAAGUUGCCUCGCCAACUAUUACUUCUACUACUAUGGCUAACGGUUAGCAAUAAAGUAAAGUAAUUACAUGACGUUUAAGUUGACACGCAGGUCACAAAUGAAUAAAGACAACUCCUAUGGCUCCUGCCGGUUGUCAUACUCAUCGACAUGCAAGUCGUGAUUCCUAUUACAAGAACAUGAUCAAUCUCAUACAUCACAUAUAUCAUUCAUCACAUCCUUUUUGGCCAUAUCACAUCACAUAGCAUACCCUGCAAAAACAAGUUAGACGUCCUCUAAUUGUUGUUUGCAUGUUUUACGUGGCUGCUAUGGGUUUCUAGCAAGAACGUUUCUUACCUACGCAUGAACAACAACGUGAUAUGCCAAUUGCUAUUUACCCUUCAUAAGGACCCUUUUCAUCGAAUCCGAUCCGACUAAAGUGGGAGAGACAGACACCCGCCAGCCACCUUAUGCAACUAGUGCAUGUUUGUCGGUGGAACCGGUCUCACGUAAGCGUACGUGUAAGGUUGGUCCGGGCCGCUUCAUCCCACGAUGCCGCCGAAUCAAGAUAAGACUAGUAACGGCAAGCAUAUUGAACAAUAUCAACGCCCACAACUACUUUGUGUUCUACUCGUGCAAAGAAUCUACGCAAUAGACCUAGCUCAUGAUGCCACUGUUGGGGAACGUAGCAGAAAUUCAAAAUUUUCCUACGUGUCACCAAGAUCUAUCUAUGGAGAUACUAGCAACGAGGGAAGGAGAGUGCAUCUACAUACCCUUGUAGAUCGCUAAGCGGAAGCGUUCAAGUGAACGGGGUUGAUGGAGUCGUACUCGUCGUGAUUCAGAUCACCGAUGAUCCUAGUGCCGAACGGACGGCACCUCCGCGUUCAACACACGUACAGCUCGACGAUGUCUCCCACGCCUUGAUCCAGCAAGGAGAGAGGGAGAGGUUGAGGAAGACUCCAUCCAGCAGCAGCACAACGGCGUGGUGGUGAUGGAGGAGCGUGGCAAUCCUGCAGGGCUUCGCCAAGCACCUACGGGAGAGGAGGAGGUGUCACGGGAGGGAGGGAGGCGCCAAGGGCUCAGGUAUAGAUGCCCUCCCUCCCCUCCACUAUAUAUAGGGGCAAGGGAGAGGGGGAGGCGCAUCCUUGCCCCUUCCUCCAAGGAAGGGGUGCGGCUAAGAGGGGGGGAGGAGUCCAUCCUCCCCAAGGCACCUCGGAGGUGCCUUCCCCCUUUAGGACUCUCCCCUUUUUCCUAUAUCUUGGCGCAUGGGCCUCUAGGGGCUGGUGCCCUUGGCCCAUGUAGGCCAAGGCGCACCCCCCUACAGCCCAUGUGGCCCCCCGGGGCAGGUGGCCCCACCCGGUGGGCCCCCGGGACCCUUCCGGUGGUCCCGGUACAAUACCGAUGACCCCGAAACUUGUCCCGAUGGCCGAAACAGGACUUCCUAUAUAUAAAUCUUUACCUCCGGACCAUUCCGGAACUCCUCGUGACGUCCGGGAUCUCAUCCGGGACUCCGAACAACAUUCGGUAACCACAUACAAACUUCCUUUAUAACCCUAGCGUCAUCGAACCUUAAGUGUGUAGACCCUACGGGUUCGGGAGACAUGUAGUCAUGACCGAGAUGUUCUCCGGUCAAUAACCAACAGCGGGAUCUGGAUACCCAUGUUGGCUCGCACAUGUUCCACGAUGAUCUCAUCGGAUGAACCACGAUGUCAAGGACUCAAUCAAUCCCGUAUACAAUUCCCUUUGUCUAGCGGUAUGGUACUUGCCCGAGAUUCGAUCGUCGGUAUACCGAUACCUUGUUCAAUCUCGUUACCGGCAAGCCUCUUUACUCGUUCCGUAACACAUCAUCCCGUGAUCAACCCCUUGGUCACAUUGUGCACAUUAUGAUGAUGUCCUACCGAGUGGGCCCAGAGAUACCUCUCCGUUUACACGGAGUGACAAAAUCCCAAUCUCGAUUCGUGCCAACCCAACAGACACUUUCAGAGAUACCCGUAGUGUACCUUUAUAGCCACCCAGUUACGUUGUGACGUUUGGCACACCCAAAGCACUCCUACGGUAUCCGGGAGUUGCACAAUCUCAUGGUCUAAGGAAAUGAUACUUGACAUUAGAAAAGCUUUAGCAUACGAACUACAUGAUCUUGUGCUAGGCUUAGNNNNNNNNNNUGAUCAACCCCUUGGUCACAUUGUGCACAUUAUGAUGAUGUCCUACCGAGUGGGCCCAGAGAUACCUCUCCGUUUACACGGAGUGACAAAAUCCCAAUCUCGAUUCGUGCCAACCCAACAGACAUUUUCAGAGAUACCCGUAGUGUACCUUUAUAGCCACCCAGUUACGUUGUGACGUUUGGCACACCCAAAGCACUCCUACGGUAUCCGGGAGUUGCACAAUCUCAUGGUCUAAGGAAAUGAUACUUGACAUUAGAAAAGCUUUAGCAUACGAACUACAUGAUCUUGUGCUAGGCUUAGGAUUGGGUCUUGUCCAUCACAUCAUUCUCCUAAUGAUGUGAUCCCGUUAUCAACGACAUCCAAUGUCCAUGGUCAGGAAACCGUAACCAUCUAUUGAUUAACGAGCUAGUCAACUAGAGGCUUACUAGGGACAUGGUGUUGUCUAUGUAUCCACACAUGUAUCUGAGUUUCCUAUCAAUACAAUUCUAGCAUGGAUAAUAAACGAUUAUCAUGAACAAGGAAAUAUAAUAAUAAUCAAUUUAUUAUUGCCUCUAGGGCAUAUUUCCAACAAGAAACGGGGAACAAACUGAUGAAAGAAUGAUCAUACCGAGGGAAUUCACUCAGAACUAACAAGAAUGAUAACGUGCUUUGACUGGAGCGGUUUAAAAACUGCUGGAAGGCUCUAGGGGAAUAAAGAUGGAAUGCCUUCAAAUUUCUAGGUCCGUAUGAUUUGAAAUACUUGCACACAAACCGCGCGAAAGCGUUCCUGGAAAUCUCAGCCCAAAAAAGGACGUUUAGUAAUUCUAAAAGGGACUACAGAAUGAAAAACAAUAGUUUUGGCAGUUAAAGUUUGAGAUUCGAUGGUGCCGUAGAUCCGUUUGGUCAUCAGGUGUAACGAGCCACACCCAUGUCUAGCUAGAGUAGUGUGCUAGGCUCAGGCUAGAGAAGAAACGGGGAACAAACUGAUGAAAGAAUGAUCAUACCGAGGGAAUUCACUCAGAACUAACAAGAAUGAUAACGUGCUCCGACUGGAGCGGUUUAGGAACUGCUGGAAGGCUCUAGGGGAAGAAAGAAGGAAUGACUUCUAAUUUUUAGGUCCGUAUGAUUUGAAAUACGUGCACACAAACCGCGCGAAAGCGUUCCUGGAAAUCUCAGCCCAAAAAAGGACGUUUAGUAUUCUAAAAGGGACUACAGAAUGAAAAACAAUAGUUUUGGCAGUUAAAGUUUGAGAUUCGACGGUGCCGUAGAUCCGUUUGGUCAUCAGGUGUUACGAGCCACACCCAUGUCUAGCUAGAAUAGUGUGCNNNNNNNNNNNNNNNNNNNNNNNNNCGUAUGAUUUGAAAUACGUGCACACAAACCGCGCGAAAGCGUUCCUGGAAAUCUCAGCCCAAAAAAGGACGUUUAGUAUUCUAAAAGGGACUACAGAAUGAAAAACAAUAGUUUUGGCAGUUAAAGUUUGAGAUUCGACGGUGCUGUAGAUCCGUUUGGUCAUCAGGUGUUACGAGCCACACCCAUGUCUAGCUAGAAUAGUGUGCUAGGCUCAGGCUAGAGAAGAAAAGGGGAACAAACUAAUGAAAGAAUGAUCAAUACGAGGGAAUUCACUCAGAACUAACAAUAAUGAUAACGUGCUCCGACUGGAGCGGUUUAGGAACUGCUGGAAGGCUCUAGGCGAAUAAAGAUGGAAUGACUUCUAAUUUUUACGUCCGUAUGAUUUGAAAUACUUGCACACAAACCACGCAAAAGCGUUCCUGGAAAUCUCGGCCUAAAAAGGACGUUUAGUAAUUCUAAAAGGGACUACAGGAUGAAAAAUAAUAGUUUGGGCAGUUAAAAUUUGAGAUUCGACGGUGCCGUAGAUCCGUUUGGUCAUCAGGUGUUACGAGCCACACCCAUGUCUAGCUAGAAUAGUGUGUUAGGCUCAGGCUAGAGAAGAAACGAGGAACAAACUGAUGAAAGAAUGAUCAUACCAAGGGAAUUCACUCAGAACUAACAAGAAUGAUAACGUGCUCCGACUGGAGCAGUUUAGAAACUGCUGGAAGGCUCUAGGGGAAUAAAGAUGGAAUGACUUCUGAUUUUUAGGUCCGUAUGAUUUGAAAUACGUGCACACAAACCCCGCGAAAGCGUUCCUGGAAAUCUCAGCCCAAAAAAGGACGUUUAGUAAUUCUAAAAGGGACUACAACAUGAAAAACAAUAGUUUUGGCAGUUAAAGUUUGAGAUUUCAUGGUGCCGUAGAUCUGUUUGGUCAUCAGGUGUUACGAGCCACACCCAUGUCUAGCUAGAAUAGUGUGUUAGGCUCAGGCUAGAAAAGAAACGGGAAACAAAGUGAUGAAAGAAUGACCAUACCGAGGGAAUUCACUCAGAACUAACAAGAAUGAUAACAUGCUCCGACUUGAGCGGUUUAGGAACUGCUGGAAGGCUCUAGGGGAAUAAAGAUGGAAUGACUUCUAAUGUUUAGGUCCGUAUGAUUUGAAAUACUUGCACAUAAACCGCACAAAAGCGUUCCUGGAAAUCUCAGCCCAAAAAAGGACGUUUAGUAAUUCUAAAAGGGACUACAGGAUGAAAAACAAUAGUUUUGGCAGUUAAAGUUUGAGAUUCGACGGUGCCGUAGAUCCGUUUGGUCAUCAGGUGUUACGAGCCACACCCAUGUCUAGCUAGAAUAGUGUGUUAGGCUCAGGCUAGAGAAGAAACUUGGAACAAACUGAUGAAAGAAUGAUCAAACCAACGGAAUUCACUCAGAACUAACAAUAAUGAUAACGUGCUCCGACUGGAGCAGUUUAGGAACUGCUGGAAGGCUCUAGGGGAAUAAAGAUGGAAUGACUUCUAAUUUUUAGGUCCGUAUGAUUUGAAAUACUUGCACGCAAACCGCGCGAAAGCGUUCCUGGAAAUAUCAGCCCAAAAAAGGACGUUUAGUAAUUCUAAAAGGGACUACAGGAUGAAAACAAUAGUUUUGGCAGUUAAAGUUUGAGAUUCAACAGUGCCGUAGAUCCGUUUGGUCAUCAGGUGUUAUGAGCCAUACCCAUGUCUAGCUAGAGUAGUGUGCUAGGCUCAGGCUAGAGAAGAAACAGGGAACAAACUGAUGAAAGAAUGAUCAUACCGAGGGAAUUCACUCAGAACUAACAAGAAUGAUAACGUGCUCCGACUGGAGCGGUUUAGGAACUGCUGGAAGGCUCUAGGGGAAUAAAGAUGGAGUGACUUCUAAAUUUUUAGGUCCGUAUGAUUUAAAAUACUUGCACACAAACCGCACGAAAGCGUUCCUUGAAAUCUCAGCCCAAAAAAGGACGUUUAGUAAGUCUAAAAGGGACUAUAGGAUGAAAAACAAUAGUUUUGGCAGUUAAAGUUUGAGAUUCGAUGGUGCCGUAGAUCUGUUUGGUCAUCAGGUGUUACGAGCCACACCCAUGUCUAGUUGGAAUAGUGUGCUAGGCUCAGACUAGAGAAGAAACAGGGAACAAACUGAUGAAAGAAUGAUCAAACCGAGGAAAUUCACUCAGAACUAACAAUAAUGAUAACAUGCUCCGACUGGAGCGGUUUAGGAACUGCUGGAAGGCUCUAGGGGAAUAAAGAUGGAAUGACUUCUAAAUUUUUAGGUCCGUAUGAUUUGAAAUAGUUGCACACAAACUGCGCGAAAGCGUUCCUGGAAAUCUCAGCCCAAAAAAGGACGUUUAGUAAUUCUAAAAGGGACUAUAGGAUGAAAAACAAUAGUUUUGGCAGUUAAAGUUUGAGAUUCGACGGUGCCGUAGAUCCGUUUGGUCAUCACGUGUUACAAGCCACACCCAUGUCUAGCUAGAGUAGUGUGCUAGGCUCAGACUAUAGAAGAAACGGGGACCAAACUGAUGAAAGAAUGAUCAAACCGAGGAAAUUCACUCAGAACUAACAAUAAUGAUAACAUGCUCCGACUGGAGCGGUUUAGGAACUACUGGAAGGCUCUAGGGGAAUAAAGAUGGAAUGACUUCUAAAUUUUUAGGUCCGUAUGAUUUUAAAUAGUUGCACACAAACUGCGCGAAAGCGUUCCUGGAAAUCUCAGCCCAAAAAAGGACGUUUAGUAAUUCUAAAAGGGACUACAGGAUGAAAAACAAUAGUUUGGGCAGUUAAAAUUUGAGAUUCGACGGUGCCGUAGAUCCGUUUGGUCAUCAGGUGUUACGAGCCACACCCAUGUCUAGCUAGAGUAGUGUGCUAGGCUCAGGCUAGAGAAGAAACAGGGAACAAACUGAUGAAAGAAUGAUCAUACCGAGGGAAUUCACUCAGAACUAACAAGAAUGAUAACGUGCUCUGACUGGAGCGGUUUAAGAACUGUUGGAAGGCUCUAGGGGAAUAAAGAUGGAAUCACUUCAAAUUUUUACGUCCGUGUGAUUUGAAAUACUUGCACACAAACCGCACGAAAGCGUUCCUGGAAAUCUCAGCCCAAAAAAGGACGUUUAGUAAGUCUAAAAGGGACUACACGAUGAAAAACAAUAGUUUUGGCAGUUAAAGUUUGAGAUUCGACAGUGCCGUAGAUCCGUUUGGUCAUCAGGUGUAACGAGCCACACCCAUGUCUAGAUAGAGUAGUGUGCUAGGCUCAAACUAGAGAAGAAACGGGGAACAAACUGAUGAAAGAAUGAUCAUACCGAGGGAAUUCACUCAGAAAUAACAAGAAUGAUAACGUGCUCUGACUGGAGCGGUUUAGGAACUGCUGGAAGGCUCUAGGGGAAUAAAGAAGGAAUGACUUCUAAUUUUUAGGUCCGUAUGAUUUGAAAUACGUGCACACAAACCCCGAGAAAGCGUUCCUGGAAAUCUCGACCCAAAAAAGGACGUUUAGUAAUUCUAAAAGGGACUACGGGAUGAAAAACAAUAGUUUUGGCAGUUAAAGUUUGAGAUUCGAUAAUGCCGUAGAUCCAUUUGGUCAUCAGGUGUAACGAGCCACACCCAUGUCUAGCUAGAGUAGUGUGCUAGGCUCAGACUAGAGAAGAAACAGGGAACAAACUGAUGAAAGAAUGAUCAUAUCGAGGGAAUUCACUCAGAACUAACAAGAAUGAUAACAUGCUCCGACUUGAGCGGUUUAGGAACUGCUGGAAGGCUCUAGGGGAAUAAAGAUGGAAUGACUUCUAAUUUUUAGGUCCGUAUGAUUUGAAAUACUUACACACAAACCACGCGAAAGCGUUCCUGGAAAUCUCAGCCCAAAAAAGGACGUUUAGUAAUUCUAAAAGGGACUACAUGAUGAAAAACAAUAGUUUUCGCAGUUAAAGUUUGAGAUUCGACGGUGCCGUAGAUCCGUUUGGUCAUCAAGUGUUACGAGCCACACCCAUGUCUAGCUAGAAUAGUGUGUUAGGCUCAGCCUAGAGAAGAAACGGGGAACAAACUGAUGAAAGAAUGAUCAUACCGAGGGAAUUCACUCAGAACUUACAAGAAUGAUAACGUGCUCCGACUUGAGCGGUUUAAGAACUGUUGGAAGGCUCUAGGGGAAUAAAGAUGGAAUCACUUCAAAUUUUUACGUCCGUGUGAUUUGAAAUACUUGCACACAAACCCCGAGAAAGCGUUCCUGGAAAUCUCGGCCGAAAAAAGGAUGUUUAAUAAUUCUAAAAGGGACUACAGGAUGAAAAACAAUAGCUUUGGCAGUUAAAGUUUGUGAUUCGAUGGUGCCGUAGAUCUGUUUGGUCAUCAGGUGUUAUGAGCCACACCCAUGUCUAGCUAGAAUAGUGUGUUAGGCUCAGGCUAGAGCAGAAACUAGGAACAAACUUAUGAAAGAAUGAUCAUACCGAGGGAAUUCACUCAGAACUAACAAGAAUGAUAACGUGCUCCGACUGGAGCGGUUUAGGAACUGCUGGAAGGCUCUAGGGGAAUAAAGAUGGAAUGACUUCUAAUUUUUAGGUCCGUAUGAUUUGAAAUACAUGCACACAAACCCCAAGAAAGCGUUCCUAGAAAUCUCAGCCCAAAAAGGACGUUUAGUAAUUCUAAAAGGGACUACAGGAUGAAAAACAAUAGGUUUGGCAGUUAAAGUUUGAGAUUCGAUAAUGCCGUAGAUCCGUUUGGUCAUCAGGUGUAACGAGCCACACCCAUGUCUAGCUACAUUAGUGUGCUAGGCUCAGACUAGAGAAGAAACGGGGAACAAACUGAUGAAAGAAUGAUCAUACCGAGGGAAUUCACUCAGAACUAACAAGAACGAUAACAUGCUCCGACUGCAGCGGUUUAGGAACUGCUGGAAGGCUCUAGGGGAAUAAAGAAGGAAUGACUUCUAAUUUUUAGGUCCGUAUGAUUUGAAAUACUUGCACACAAACCGCGCGAAAGCAUUCCUGGAAAUCUCAGCCCAAAAAAGGACGUUUAGUAAUUCUAAAAGGGACUACAGGAUGAAAAACAAUAAUUUUGGCAGUUAAAGUUUGAGAUUCGACGGUGCCGUAGAUCCGUUUGGUCAUCAGGUGUUACGGGCCAUACCCAUGUCUAGCUAGAAUAGUGUGUUAGGCUCAGGUUAGAGAAGAAACGGGGAACAAAGUGAUGAAAGAAUGAUCAUACCGAGGGAAUUCACUCAGAACUAACAAGAAUGAUAACGUGCUCCGACUGGAGCGGUUUAGGAAUUGCUGGAAGGCUCUAGGGGAAUAAAGAUGGAAUGACUUCUAUAUUUUACGUCCGUAUGAUUUGAAAUACUUGCACACAAACCACGCAAAAGCACUCCUGGAAAUAUCAGCCUAAAAAGGAUGUUUAGUAAUUCUAAAAGGGACUACAGGAUGAAAAAUAAUAGUUUUGGCAGUUAAAAUUUGAGAUUCAACGGUGCCGUAAAUCCGUUUGGUCAUCAGGUGUUACGAGCCACACCCAUGUCUAGCUAGAAUAGUGUGUUAGGCUCAGGUUAGAGAAGAAACGGGGAACAAACUGAUGAAAGAAUGAUCAUACAAGGGGAAUUCACUCAGAACUAUCAAGAAUGAUAACGUGCUCCGACUGGAGCAGUUUAGGAACUGCCGGAAGGCUCUAGGGGAAUAAAGAUGGAAUGACUUCUAAUUUUUAUGUCCGUAUGAUUUGAAAUACUUGCACACAAACCACGCAAAAGCGUUCCUGGAAAUCUCAGCCUAAAAAGGACGUUUAGUAAUUCUAAAAGGGACUACAGGAUGAAAAACAAUAGUUUGGGCAGUUAAAAUUCGAGAUUCGACGGUGCCGUAGAUCCGUUUGGUCAUCAGGUGUUACGAGCCACACCCAUGUCUAGCUAGAAUAGUGUGUUAGGCUCAGGCUAGAGAAGAAACGGGGAACAAACUGAUGAAAGAAUGAUCAUAUCGAGGGAAUUCACUCAGAACUAACAAGAAUGAUAACGUGCUCCGACUGGAGCGGUUUAGUAACUGCUGGAAGGCUCUAGGGGAAUAAAGAUGGAAUGACUUCUAAUUAUUAGGUCCGUAAGAUUUGAAUUACAUGCACACAAACCCCGAGAAAGCGUUCCUGGAAAUCUCGGUCGAAAAAAGGAUGUUUAGUAAUUCUAAAAGGGACUACAGGAUGAAAAACAAUAGUUUUGGCAGUUAAAGUUUGUGAUUCGAUGGUGCCGUAGAUCUGUUUGGUCAUCAGGUGUUACGAGCCACACCCAUGUCUAGCUAGAAUAGUGUGUUAGGCUCAGGCUAGAGCAGAAACGGGGAACAAACUUAUGAAAGAAUGAUCAUGCCGAGGGAAUUCACUCAGAACUAACAAGAAUGAUAACGUGCUCCGACUGGAGCGGUUUAGGAACUGCUGGAAGGCUCUAGGGGAAUAAAGAUGGAAUGACAUCAAAUUUUUAGGUCCGUAUGAUUUGAAAUACUUGCACACAAACCGCAAGAAAGCGUUCUUGGAAAUCUCCGCCCAAAAAAGGACGUUUAGUAAUUCUAAAAGGGUCUACAGGAUGAAAAACAAUAGUUCUGGCAGUUAAAGUUUGAGAUUCGAUAAUGUCGUAGAUCCGUUUGGUCAUCAGGCGUAACGAGCCACACCCAUUUCUAGCUAGAGUAGUGUGCUAGGCUCAGACUAGAGAAGAAACGGGGAACAACCUGAUGAAAGAAUGAUCAUACCGAGGGAAUUCACUCAGAACUAACAAGAAUGAUAACGUGCUCCGACUGGAGCGGUUUAGGAACUGCUGGAAGGCUCUACGGGAAUAAAGAAGGAAUGACUUCUAAUUUUUAGGUCCGUAUGAUUUGAAAUACGUGCACACAAACCCCGAGAAAGCGUUCCUGGAAAUCUCGGCCCAAAAAAGGACGUUUAGUAUUCUAAAAGCGACUACAGAAUGAAAAACAAUAGUUUUGGUAGUUAAAGUUUGAGAUUUAACGGUGCCGUAGAUCUGUUUGGUCAUCAGGUGUUACGAGCCACACCCAUGUCUAGCUAGAAUAGUGUGUUAGGCUCAGGCUAGAUAAGAAACAGGGAACAAAGUGAUGAAAGAAUGAUCAUACCAAGGGAAUUCACUCAGAACUAACAAGAACGAUAACAUGCUCCGACUGGAGUGGUUUAGGAACUGCUGGAAGGCUCUAGGGGAAUAAAGAUGGAAUGACUUCUAAUUUUUAGGUCUGUAUGAUUUGAAAUACUUGCACACAAACCGCACGAAAGCGUUCCUGGAAAUCUCAUCCCAAAAAAGGACGUUUAGUAAUUCUAAAAGGGACUACAGGAUGAAAAACAAUAGUUUUGGCAGUUAAAGUUUGAGAUUCGAUAAUGCUGUAGAUCCGUUUGGUCAUCAGGUGUAACGAGCCACACCCAUGUCUAGCUAGAGUAGUGUGCUAGGCUCAGACUAGAGAAGAAACGGGGAACAAACUGAUGAAAGAAUGAUCAUACCGAGGGAAUUCACUCAGAACUAACAAUAAUGAUAACGUGCUCCGACUGGAGCGGUUUAGGAACUGCUGGAAGGCUCUAGGGGAAUAAAGAUGGAAUGAGUUCUAAUUUUUAGGUCUGUAUGAUUUGAAAUACUUGCACACAAACCGCGUGAAAGCAUUCCUGGAAAUUUCAGCCCAAAAAAGGACGUUUAGUAAUUUUAAAAGGGACUACACGAUGAAAAACAAUAGUUUUGGCAGUUAAAGUUUGAGAUUCGACGGUGCCGUAGAUCCGUUUGGUCAUCAGGUGUUACGAGCCACACCCAUGUCUAGCUAGAAUAGUAUGUUAGGCUCGGGUAAGAGAAGAAACGGGGAACAAACUGAUGAAAGAAUGAUCAUACCAAGGGAAUUCACUCAGAACUAACAAGAAUGAUAACGUGCUCCGACUGGAGCGGUUUAGGAACUGCUGGAAGGCUCUAGGGGAAUAAAGAUGGAAUGACUUCUAAUUUUUACGUUCGUAUGAUUUGAAAUACUUGCACACAAACCACGCAAAAGCGUUCCUGGAAAUCUCAUCCUAAAAAAGGACGUUUAGUAAUUCUAAAAGGGACUACAGGAUGAAAAAUAAUAGUUUGGGCAGUUAAAAUUUGAGAUUCGACGGUGCCGUAGAUCCGUUUGGUCAUCAGGUGUUACGAGCCACACCCAUGUCUAGCUAGAAUAGUGUGUUAGGCUCAGGCUAGAGAAGAAACGGGGAACAAACUGAUGAAAGAAUGAUCAUAUCGAGGGAAUUCACUCAGAACUAACAAGAAUGAUAACGUGCUCCGACUGGAGCAGUUUAGAAACUGCUGGAAGGCUCUAGGGGAAUAAAGAUGGAAUGACUUCUAAUUUUUAGGUCUGUAUGAUUUGAAAUACGUGCACACGAACCCCGAGAAAGCGUUCCUGGAAAUCUCGGCCCAAAAAAGGACGUUUAGUAAUUCUAAAAGGGACUACAGGAUGAAAAACAAUAGUUUUGGCAGUUAAAGUUUGAGAUUCGACGGUGCCGUAGAUCCGUUUGUUCAUCAGGUGUUACGAGCCACACCCAUGUCUAGCUAGAAUAGUGUGUUAGGCUCAGGCUAGAGAAGAAACGGGGAACAAACUGAUGAAAGAAUGAUCAUACCGAGGGAAUUCACUCAGAACUAACAAGAAUGAUAACGUGCUCCGACUGGAGCGGUUUAGGAACUGCUAGAAGGCUCUAGGGGAAUAAAGAAGGAAUGACUUCUAAUUUUUAGGUCCGUAUGAUUUGAAAUACGUGCACACAAACCCCGAGAAAGCGUUCCUGGAAAUCUUGGCCCAAAAAAGGACGUUUAGUAUUCUAAAAGCGACUACAGAAUGAAAAACAAUAGUUUUGCUAGUUAAAGUUUGAGAUUUGAUGGUGCCGUAGAUCUGUUUGGUCAUCAGGUUUUACGAGCCACACCCAUGUCUAGCUAGAAUAGUGUGUUAGGCUCAGGCUAGAAAAGAAACAGGGAAUAAAGUGAUGAAAGAAU
rnacentral:lncRNA from 1 species